GGGCUUGUGGUUUAGUGGUAUAACGCCUGCUUAGCAUGCUGGAGGUCCGGGGUUCGAUUCCCCGCGAGUCCA